CAAAUAUUUUUUUUAUUAUUUUUCUUAACUUUAUUUGAUAGUAACAAUUAGGUCUAAAUAGAUUUUAUUGAAAAAAUCAAACAAUUUGUGUCUUGCCAAAU